AUAAAUAAAGUCUUUAAAAAAAGAAAAAAUUAAGGGUGGAAACAAUAGGCACAACUUUAAAAGAAAAAUCUCAGGGCAGGAAAGCUGAAAAUCUCAACAGAUGCCUGGAGGAAGAAAAUGGAGCAGAGAAAAAAAAGCUAUGCUGGCAUGGAUGUUGGUUAUAUGGCAGACAUGCAGCUACAUGGUGGAGUGGGGAGCUUUAGAGAAAGAGUUGAGCCCAAAGUGUCAGGGGAAAGCAUGCUCAGAAAAAAAAAAGAAAGAAAGGAAGAAAUGGAAAAGUUACUCUCUUCUCAGUAAUCCAGAAAGACAACCUGAUUUACAUAAAUUAUGAGACUGAAGCUAUUGUGCUAGAGGCUGGAACUCUGAAUAGGAAAAGUACAUUAUUUCAUUAAAGGGCUAAUUAUUCCUCUUUCCUUUUUUUAGCACGGCUUAAGGUGAAUCUUCCUUCUGGAGGGGUGGUCCCUUUGUCAGGAUGAGGAAGAAUUGACACCGAUGUUUAUAAAUCUUUUCUGUGGUGCUGGGAAUUGAUCCUGGAGCCUCAUGCAUGCAAGAUCAGUACUAUCGAGUGCACCGGCAUCUCUCUAAGUCUCCCUGGGCUUGGUUCGUGGUGCCAGGCGGCGAGGACUCCGAGAGCGCUCUGGCCCUGGAAGGGGCUGGAAGGAGAGGAUGCCUUCGGAGGCGCGGAACCCCAA